UACCAGCCCCCUGAGUGGUAAGGACGAUUAUUUGGUUUAAAGCGUCCGUAGCCGGCUUAGUGAGUCUCUUGCUAAAUCCAAUGAUUCAAUCAUUGAACUGCAAGAGAUACUACUAUGUUAGAGGACGGGAGAGGUCGACGGUAGUCCAAGGGUAGGGGUGAAAUCCUAUAAUCCUUGGAGGACCACCAGUGGCGAAGGCGGUCGACUAGAACGCGCCUGACGGCGAGGGACGAAAGCUGGGGGAGCGAACCGGAUUAGAUACCCGGGUAGUCCCAGCUGUAAACGAUGCGGGCUAGGUGUAGGGGCAGCUACGAGCUGCUCCUGUGCCGCAGAGAAAUUGUUAAGCCCGCCGCCUGGGGAGUACGAUCGCAAGAUUGAAACUUAAAGGAAUUGGCGGGGAGCACCACAAGGGGUGAAGGCUGCGGUUU
rnacentral:rRNA from 1 species